rnacentral:rRNA from 1 species
UACGGAGGAUCCAAGCGUUAUCCGGAUUUAUUGGGUUUAAAGGGUGCGUAGGCGGAAUUGUAAGUCAGUGGUGAAAGCCCUUCGCUUAACGAAGGAACUGCCAUUGAUACUGCAAAUCUUGAGUACAUUUGAUGUGGGCGGAAUGUGUCAUGUAGCGGUGAAAUGCUUAGAUAUGACACAGAACACCGAUUGCGAAAGGCAGCUCCACAAAAACU